UACGUAGGGUGCGAGCGUUAAUCGGAAUUACUGGGCGUAAAGCGUGCGCAGGCGGUUCGUUAUGUCCGAUGUGAAAGCCCCGAGCUCAACUUGGGAAUGGCAUUGGAAACUGGCGGGCUGGAGUGUGGCAGAGGGGGGUGGAAUUCCACGUGGUAGCAGUGAAAUGCGUAGAGAUGUGGAGGAACACCGAUGGCGAAGGCAGCCCCCUGGGCCAACACUGACGCUCAGGCACGAAAGCGUGGGGAGCAAAC
rnacentral:rRNA from 1 species